UCGGCGUUGGGCGGGCGAGCGCGGGGCUGCCCGUUGGGCUGAGGAGGGGGCGGCUGAGCAGAAGGGCGCUGGGGGCUGAGGGCUGGCGGGCGGGGAGGGGGGGCGAACAGGAGCCUUCUCCUUAGUCACAGGUGCUCGGUAGCCCCUGUCAUUCGGCGAUCCUCUGCCGUUUUCUGUGAGGCCUGUCGCCGGCGGGCGGUGCGGGGGCUGCCUUGUCAGCCGUCUUGCCCGCCCCACCCACCUCCUCAUGGCUGCGUGGCUGCGUGUCUAGCUGCCUGUUUAAUAGGUGUUUAAACCAGUGCUUCCCCCUUCCACACGGCUUUAGGCGGCUCAUUCCUGCAUUUGCUCUUGCGCUAGCACGGAUGGUGUGGAGCAGAGGACUCUUGGGCUGACAAACGACCUGGCAGGAAGAAGAAAAAUGAGGAAAAAUUAAUCCAGGAACUUGGAAAGAUGUCUGUGUUCUGCACUGUGAAAGCUUGAGUCCAGAGAGUGUUUAAAGGAAAAUGCUUGCAGACAACAAGUAAGGAAUGCCAGUGGAAAUGUCCUGGAAAUUCCAAGCUGAUUUUCCACAGGACACUGUACUUCAUAUAAUGUAGCUUUUAAACACUAACACUGGGCUGUGGAAUGCAUCUGAAUUUUUCACCCAAAACUCUGUGUUUAUUUUAAACUUCAUGCAUCCUCCUAUGGACUUGCUUUGAAAGAGGAGAGAAUUGUCUAUAGGUUGUAUUUGUAAUGUUCAAAGGAAUAGAAAACAUCAAACAGCAAUCUGUUGAGCACAGAAAUUGAAGUGCCAGGGAUUAUCUGUUACAUUUCAUUCCUUUUGCCCUCCUGAAAGAAACUGCAUGUAUGAAGAACAAAAAAAUAGCUUAUGACAUAAAAUCAAGCCUACAGCUUUUGUGGGUAUUAGUUUUGAAUAACAUGGAUGUAAAGUGGUAUGCAUAAAGAAUAAAAGGGCAAAAUCCAGUUUUUAAAGUUCUUAUCAAUAAACUUCAGCUUUUACCACAAAAGGACAAUCAAAAUACGCUAAAAUGUUCAAGAUACUAAACUGAAGGGGGAGUUAAUUAGGAGGAAUGAUUUCAUCUUAAUACAACCAAGAUGAAGAAAAGUCAAAUGGAGAUGUUCUUGAAUUCUUAAAUUGCAUUUAGAUUGAAGCCAUGCAGACAGUAGUAGCGCUAAACUGAUACAGAGUAAUUAAAGAAUGUGUGGGUUCAAGAGUUUUCUUUUUUUUGUACCAGAAUUUGUUGCUACAUCAUUAAGAUUGUUUAUAAACAUACUUAAGUAUGAUUUUUUGUAACUUUAUAUUCUUUAUUGUUUGGUUGCCUUGUCUCUUUCCUGGGAAGUUACAAAGAAGCUAAAUAGCUUCCACUUUGUAGGGCUUCUUUUCCCUCUCUAGUUUGAUUAUUCAUUUACUUAAUGUUAUUUAUUCCCUCUGGCAUGAUCAAAUGAUCAUGUCCUCUUAGAAACUAAACAAAACCCCAUGAUCUUAAGGUUUAUGCUCACCGCACGUUUCCACAGCUGUUUGCUAGCUACAUCUCUUAGUUCCAGCGCCUGUACUGACUUUUAGAACACCACGAUUCUGGAACCCUGUCCUGACUCUUACCU